CCAAACAAUGUGGUCAAGAGUAUUAGAUUAGAGAAAGACCGUAUUGCAUUUGUAAUCCCGAAUUGAAUAGGUUCUCUAUCCUCUUCUGAUUAGCUUGGGUAACCAUGAUAUGCUGCUAGGUGUCACUCAUGGUUUGUGGAAGCCCUAAACGUGUGUAAUCACUAAAGGGAGAAUUGAAAAUAGUUUCAAUUCACAAUCUAUGUAAAAUGGUUUUAAUCGCCCACUACCUCGUUAAAAGGAACCUAAUGGAUCGCACACCAUAAAAGGUAGAGAUUGAAGAUUAAACGGAAAUGAGUAAGAAUGAUUAAAUGGUUUAAUCAUUUAUUUAUGGCAAGGAUUAAUUAAUAUGUUAAUUAAUCAAACGAAUAAGUUCGUUAAAUGACUUCGGGAUAGUUUUGGACCUUAAGGCCCAAUGGGCUUCGAACAUCAAGCCCAUUAACUUAAGUUGUAUGACAAUUUAAUGAAUAAAGAUUCAUUAAAGCCCAAAAGCCCAAAACUCCCUAAAUGGCCGGCCAUAUUGUGAUGAAUUAGGGUUUUGGUUAUUUAGGUCACUUAAAGAAGUAACUAUAUAAAUGACUUUAUAGCCAAAUAUUCAUUAAGGAUUAAAAGGGUUUAUUUUGGGGGAAAAUUGGUGAGAAUUGUCUCUCCAUUUUCUCUCUAAAGAGGCCAACACCUU
rnacentral:lncRNA from 1 species